CAUGAUUUACUUGAUCUUGAUAAUCCUAAAUGGACAACUGUGGAAAAGCUAGAGCUAAUACAUGCACUAAAGCUUUGUCCUUACGGAAAAGCGCAUUUAUUAGAACAAAACCAAGCGGCUUCGGCUGCUUCUUGUUGACUCAGAAUAACUAAGCUGACCGCAUGGCCAAGUGCCGGCGGCGAAUCUUUCAAGCGUCCACUUUAUCAACUUGACGGGAGCAUAAUCGACUCCCGUGGUGGUGACGGAUAACGGAGGAUCAGGGUUCGACUCCGGAGAAGGGGCCUGAGAAAUGGCCACUACGUCUAAGGAUGGCAGCAGGCGCGCAAAUUACCCACUCUCGGCUCGAGGAGGUAGUGACGAGAAAUAACGAGGUCGUUCUCAAAUGAGGCCGGUCAUCGGAAUGGGUACAAUUUAAACCCUUUAACGAGUAUCAAGCAGAGGGCAAGUCUGGUGCCAGCAGCCGCGGUAAUUCCAGCUCUGCUAAUACAUAGAAUUAUUGCUGCGGUUAAAAAGCUCGUAGUUGGAUUCGUGUCGAUACCCUGGAACCCUUCGGGUGUCUCUAGGUGUUAUCGAUUUAUCGUAAUGUUCGGUCUUGAGUCCUUAACAGGAUUCCUGACAGGCGUUACAAGUUUACUUUGAACAAAUCAGAGUGCUUCAAACAGGCGUUUAGCUUGAAUGAUCGUGCAUGGAAUAAUAGAAUACGAUUUCGGUUCAGUUUUAUUGGUUUUGUGGACUGAGAUAAUGGUUAACAGGGACAAACGGGGGCAUUCGUAUCGCUGCGUGAGAGGUGAAAUUCUUGGACCGUAGCGAGACGCCCUACUGCGAAAGCAUUUGCCAAGAAUGUCUUCAUUAAUCAAGAACGAAAGUCAGAGGUUCGAA
rnacentral:rRNA from 1 species